UACAGAGGGGGCUAGCGUUGUUCGGAUUUACUGGGCGUAAAGCGCACGUAGGCGGAUCGUUAAGUCGGGGGUGAAAUCCUGGAGCUCAACUCCAGAACUGCCUUCGAUACUGGCGAUCUUGAGUCCGGAAGAGGUGAGUGGAACUCCUAGUGUAGAGGUGGAAUUCGUAGAUAUUAGGAAGAACACCAGUGGCGAAGGCGGCUCACUGGUCCGGUACUGACGCUGAGGUGCGAAAGCGUGGGGAGCAAACAGG
rnacentral:rRNA from 1 species